ACAGAAGAUUACAGAGUAGGAACAAUAAUCCUGAGAGUAUUAAUCUUAGUCAAGUUACGGCAUCCUCCAAAAUUGCAAGAGGCUAUAGAAUCGUAAAACCUAGAAACCCAGACGAUCCAGCAAGUUUAUCGGCCACAACGCUGCGGACAUAAUCGUGAUAGCUUGCAUUGAAGUGUUCGAAUCGUUGUUGAGAGGGCAGAGAUGGUUCAUGGAGUCAACUGAAACUCGCAUUUGAUUCAUCGUGCCGCUAAUAUCGUUUGGUUAAACUCUUCACUCUUCCCAAUUCUCUAUUUCAUCGAUCCAGAUACUUCAUUCUUCCCAAUUCAAUUCCUUAAACACCACUCCGCUGCAUAUGACGUUGCCUUUCUCGAAAGGUGUCGACUUUGUUUCAUUCCAACGUUAUUGCGCUUCUGGAGCAAUGGCUAUCGCGCCAGCUGAACCUUGAUGAGUAUCCUUCAUGGGGAUCCAGAAGUGUUGAUUGCUUGGAAAAGUUGGAGCAGAUUGGCGAGGGAACUCAUGGCCUGCAGGUAGAGUUGUUUGCCUAUUUCUGCUCCAAAAUAUCUUGUUUCUGGGUGUAUUCUUCAUUGCUGACACUGCAACUGCAAGAAGGAACUGAUCUAUACCUUUGUACAUGGCUAGAGAAAUCAGAACAGGUGACAUUGUUGCUUUGAAGAAAUAAGAAUGGACAAUGAGAGAGAGGGUGUGUCUCUUCCAUCACCUUGCUGAAUGUUAUUUGCUCUAUUAUGGGUGCAUACGAUAAUUCUGUUUACAGUCCAGUUGAUGUUUUCACGAUGAGAAUUUCAAGUAACACUUCGUAAUUGAGAAAGUAUUAUUGGUUGUUCU